CAGUAGCCACGGUAAAACGUAGGUCCCGAGCGUUGUCCGAAUUUAUUGGGCGUAAAGCGAGCGCAGGCGGUUAGAUAAGUCUGAAGUUAAAGGCUGUGGCUUAACCAUAGUACGCUUUGGAAACUGUUUAACUUGAGUGCAAGAGGGGAGAGUGGAAUUCCAUGUGUAGCGGUGAAAUGCGUAGAUAUAUGGAGGAACACCGGUGGCGAAAGCGGCUCUCUGGCUUGUAACUGACGCUGAGGCUCGAAAGCGUGGGGAGCAAACAGGAUUAGAUACCCCAGUAGUCCCUGUCUCUUAUACA
rnacentral:rRNA from 1 species